CUCCAAGGCAAGGCGCUUUCCCCAGGGCUCUGGGCUUGCUGGCUUCACUUCUUGGCGACUAACCAAGGACUCUGGCCCUUGAGGAGUUGCAGGGAGGAGAGACUCCACCAACUGAGGAGCCCAGAACCGUCUCUCCAGGGCCAUGGGAUCUGAGCUGGGCCUUGAAAGGAGGCAGAUAAGAAGCAAUGGCAUCUCCAGGUCAGAACCUCAGAAGGAGGUGGAAACAAAUCCGGCUAUUUUACCAUUGGUUAAAGGUCACAUGCAGCUAUAGUGCAACGUCAAUAGGGGCUGUCCUAGCCCGUGGGACCAGCAAGCAGAGAUGUCCUUCCGUGCCACGAAGAAACAGUCUCUGCUGUGGCCCUAUGGAGUGCCGGCUGCUCACGGCUUCUUUUGCAGUAAGAGGAUCAGCGUGGAGGCCUAGACUGUCCAUGCCUAGAGAGGGACUGGGCAGGCGGGAAUAAACUGCUA